UACGGAGGGGGCUAGCGUUGUUCGGAAUUACUGGGCGUAAAGCGCGCGUAGGCGGACCUGCAAGUCGGGGGUGAAAGCCCGAGGCUCAACCUCGGAACUGCCUUCGAUACUGCGGGUCUCGAGUCCGGGAGAGGUGAGUGGAAUUCCUAGUGUAGAGGUGGAAUUCGUAGAUAUUAGGAAGAACACCAGUGGCGAAGGCGGCUCACUGGUCCGGUACUGACGCGUGAGGUGCGAAAGCGUGGGGAGCAAACAGG
rnacentral:rRNA from 1 species